UACAGAGACUGCAAGCGUUUAUUCGGAUUUACUGGGCGUAAAGGGAGCGUAGGUGGCAUUCUAAGUCUGAUGUGAAAGCUCUGAGCUUAACUCAGAAAUUGGCAUUAGAAACUAGUUUGCUUGAGGAUUGGAGGGGAGAUUGGAAUUCUUGGUGUAGCAGUGAAAUGCGUAGAUAUCAAGAGGAACACCAGUGGCGAAGGCGAAUCUCUGGACAAUUCCUGACACUGGAUGCUCGAAAGCCUAGGGGAGCAAACGGG
rnacentral:rRNA from 1 species